UGUGGAUUCUCAUCUGAAUGUCUUUUGGCUGCCGUGGUGGAAAUCAUAACCUGUUUUUACACCUGAAGAGAAUUUCUCUGACAGAGAAUGACAAGAGGAAAAAUGAAAAAAGAGUGAUGCACCACUGGUCUGGAGAUUUUUAUUCUAUCAGACAUAGACAGAAUCUUCUGCUUCUCUAUUUGAGGCGCAGAGUUCUGGCUCAAGCUAUCUUGGAGGCAGAAGAAGACAGAAAAAGCUACCAUAGACUUGAACUGAACCUUGUGAGAACCACCUUCUUGUUCCCACUGCCCCCCAGGCACCAUAGGAGGACUAGCAAAAUCUGA
rnacentral:lncRNA from 1 species